GUAGUCCACGCUGUAAACGAUCGGUACUAGAGUUUGAGGGAGUUGACCCCUUCAGACUCGGAGCUAACGCGAUAAGUACCGCGCCUGGGAAGUACGGUCGCAAGACUAAAACUCAAAGGAAUUGACGGGAGCCCGCACAAGCGGUGGAUUAUGUGGUUUAAUUCGAAGCAACGCGCAGAACCUUACCUAGGUUUGACAUCCUUUGACAACCGUAGAGAUACGGCUUUCGUAGCAAUACGACAAAGAGACAGGUGCUGCAUGGCUGUCGUCAGCUCGUGUGGUGGCAUGUCGGGUUAAGUCCCUCAACGAGCGCAACCCCUGUGUUUAGUUGCCAGCAUUAAGUUGGGCACUCUAGACAGACUGCCGUGGUUAACACGGA
rnacentral:rRNA from 1 species